ACUCCUACGGGAGGCAGCAGUGGGGAAUAUUGCACAAUGGGCGCAAGCCUGAUGCAGCCAUGCCGCGUGUAUGAAGAAGGCCUUCGGGUUGUAAAGUACUUUCAGCAGUGAGGAAGGUGGAUAUGUUAAUAGCAUACUCAUUUGACGUUUAGCUGCAGAAGAAGCACCGGCUAACUCCGUGCCAGCAGCCGCGGUAAUACGGAGGGUGCGAGCGUUAAUCGGAAUUACUGGGCGUAAAGCGCAUGCAGGUGGUUUGUUAAGUCAGAUGUGAAAGCCCGGGGCUCAACCUCGGAAUUGCAUUUGAAACUGGCAAACUAGAGUACUGUAGAGGGGGUAGAAUUUCAGGUGUAGCGGUGAAAUGCGUAGAGAUCUGAAGGAAUACCGGUGGCGAAGGCGGCCCCCUGGACAGAUACUGACACUCAGAUGCGAAAGCGUGGGGAGCAAACAGGAUUAGAUACCCUGGUAGGAUAGCG
rnacentral:rRNA from 1 species